rnacentral:rRNA from 1 species
CGGACGGGUGAGUAACGCGUGAGAAUCUGCCUUCAGGUCGGGGACAACACUGGAAACGGUGGCUAAUACCGGAUAUACCUAACAGUGAAAGAUUAAUUGCCUGAAGAGGAGCUCGCGUCUGAUUAGCUAGUUGGUGGGGUAAGAGCUUACCAAGGCGACGAUCAGUAGCUGGUCUGAGAGGACGAUCAGCCACACUGGAACUGAGACACGGUCCAGACUCCUACGGGAGGCAGCAGUGGGGAAUUUUCCGCAAUGGGCGAAAGCCUGACGGAGCAAUACCGCGUGAGGGAGGAAGGCUCUUGGGUUGUAAACCUCUUUUCUCAGGGAAGAAGUUCUGACGGUACCUGAGGAAUCAGCAUCGGCUAACUCCGUGCCAGCAGCCGCGGUAAUACGGAGGAUGCAAGCGUUAUCCGGAAUGAUUGGGCGUAAAGCGUCCGCAGGUGGCAUUGAAAGUCUGCUGUCAAAGAGUCUGGCUCAACCAGAUAAAGGCAGUGGAAACUACAAAGCUAGAGUACGUUCGGGGCAGAGGGAAUUCCUGGUGUAGCGGUGAAAUGCGUAGAGAUCAGGAAGAACACCGGUGGCGAAAGCGCUCUGCUAGGCCGUAACUGACACUGAGGGACGAAAGCUAGGGGAGCGAAUGGGAUUAGAUACCCCAGUAGUCCUAGCCGUAAACGAUGGAUACUAGGUGUUGCUUGUAUCGACCCGAGCAGUACCGUAGCUAACGCGUUAAGUAUCCCGCCUGGGGAGUACGCAGGCAACUGUGAAACUCAAAGGAAUUGACGGGGGCCCGCACAAGCGGUGGAGUAUGUGGUUUAAUUCGAUGCAACGCGAAGAACCUUACCAGGGCUUGACAUGUCGCGAAUCAUGGGGAAACUCGUGAGUGCCUUCGGGAGCGCGAACACAGGUGGUGCAUGGCUGUCGUCAGCUCGUGUCGUGAGAUGUUGGGUUAAGUCCCGCAACGAGCGCAACCCUCGUUUUUAGUUGCCGUCAUUAAGUUGGGCACUCUAGAGAGACUGCCGGUGACAAACCGGAGGAAGGUGGGGAUGACGUCAAGUCAGCAUGCCCCUUACGUCCUGGGCUACACACGUACUACAAUGCGCCGAACAGAGGGCAGCAAGCUAGCGAUAGCAAGCUAAUCCCGGAAAUUGGCGCUCAGUUCAGAUCGCAGGCUGCAACUCGCCUGCGUGAAGUUGGAAUCGCUAGUAAUUGCAGGUCAGCAUACUGCAGUGAAUUCGUUCCCGGGCCUUGUACACACCGCCCGUCACACCAUGGAAGCUGGUAGUGCCCGAAGUCAUUACCCCAACCUUUCGGGGAGGGGGAUGCCUAAGGCAGGACUGGUGACUGGGGUGAAGUCGUAACAAGGUAGCG